rnacentral:tRNA from 2 species
AGCCCCGUAGUGUAGCGGUCAAGCACUCGAGCCUUUGGAGCUCGGAACCCAGGUUCGAAUCCUGGCGGGGCUA